rnacentral:rRNA from 1 species
AUUGAACGCUGGCGGCAUGCCUUACACAUGCAAGUCGAACGGCAGCACGGACUUCGGUCUGGUGGCGAGUGGCGAACGGGUGAGUAAUGCAUCGGAACGUGCCAUUGAGUGGGGGAUAACGUAGCGAAAGUUGCGCUAAUACCGCAUAUUCUGUGAGCAGGAAAGCAGGGGACCGCAAGGCCUUGCGCUCUUUGAGCGGCCGAUGUCAGAUUAGCUAGUUGGUGAGGUAAAGGCUUACCAAGGCGACGAUCUGUAGCGGGUCUGAGAGGAUGAUCCGCCACACUGGAACUGAGACACGGUCCAGACUCCUACGGGAGGCAGCAGUGGGAAUUUUGGACAAUGGGGGCAACCCUGAUCCAGCCAUGCCGCGUGAGUGAAGAAGGCCUCGGUUGUAAG